CCCGCUGAACUUAAGCAUAUCAAUAAGCGGAGGAAAAGAAACCAACAGGGAUUGCCCUAGUAACGGCGAGUGAAGCGGCAAAAGCUCAGAUUUGAAAUCUGGCAUCGUUUUGAUGCCCGAGUUGUAGUCUGCAGAGGUGUAUUCGAGUGUGGCUUUGGCUUAAGUUCCUUGGAACAGGGCGUCAUAGAGGGUGAGAACCCCGUUAACGGCCUUUGCUCUAUGCUCAUGUGAAUCUCCUUCAACGAGUCGAGUUGUUUGGGAAUGCAGCUCUAAAUGGGUGGUAAAUUCCAUCUAAAGCUAAAUACUGGCAAGAGACCGAUAGCGCACAAGUAGAGUGAUCGAAAGAUGAAAAGAACUCUGAACAGAGAGUUAAAUAGUACGUGAAAUUGUUGAAAGGGAAGCACUUCCGACCAGACGCACUUGCAGCCGAUCAAUCUUCAUUCUUGAGGGUGCACUCGGUUGUCUGUGGGUCAGCAUCAGUCAUAGUGGUAGGAAAAAGACUGAGGGAAUGUGACUCCUCUCGGGGAGUGUUAUAGCCCUUGGUGCAAUGCUGCCUGGUGUGACUGAGGACCGCGCUUCGGCGAGGAUGUUGGCAUAAUGGUCGUAAGUGACCCGUCUUGAAACACGG
rnacentral:rRNA from 1 species